UGGCAGUGACCUAUUCUGGCCA
rnacentral:miRNA from 1 species